rnacentral:rRNA from 1 species
AUGAACGCUGGCGGCGUGCCUAAUACAUGCAAGUCGAGCGAACAGAUGAGGAGCUUGCUCCUCUGACGUUAGCGGCGGACGGGUGAGUAACACGUGGAUAACCUACCUAUAAGACUGGGAUAACUUCGGGAAACCGGAGCUAAUACCGGAUAAUAUAUUGAACCGCAUGGUUCAAUAGUGAAAGACGGUUUUGCUGUCACUUAUAGAUGGAUCCGCGCCGCAUUAGCUAGUUGGUAAGGUAACGGCUUACCAAGGCAACGAUGCGUAGCCGACCUGAGAGGGUGAUCGGCCACACUGGAACUGAGACACGGUCCAGACUCCGACGGGAGGCAGCAGUAGGGAAUCUUCCGCAAUGGGCGAAAGCCUGACGGAGCAACGCCGCGUGAGUGAUGAAGGUCUUCGGAUCGUAAAACUCUGUUAUUAGGGAAGAACAAAUGUGUAAGUAACUAUGCACGUCUUGACGGUACCUAAUCAGAAAGCCACGGCUAACUACGU